rnacentral:rRNA from 1 species
UACGUAGGGGGCAAGCGUUAUCCGGAUUUACUGGGUGUAAAGGGGGCGCAGACGGCGAUGCAAGCCAGGAGUGAAAGCCCCGGGCCCAACCCCGGGACUGCUCUUGGAACUGCGUGGCUGGAGUGCAGGAGGGGCAGGCGGAAUUCCUGGUGUAGCGGUGAAAUGCGUAGAUAUCAGGAGGAACACCGGUGGCGAAGGCGGCCUGCUGGACUGCAACUGACGUUGAGGCCCGAAAGCGUGGGGAGCAAACAGG